CUCCGGCGGUGAUGGAUCACCGUUUCAGUGGCAUUUAAAUCCCUGGCGCUCCUCCGCCUAGGUGACGCGCAGUCGCCCCCCCAGGCAGCCCAGGAGGCGGCGGGAGCCCCGGCGGCUGCGAUGGCAGAUUCGGAGCGCUGGGACCUAGAGAACCCGAGGCUACCUUCUGCGCGCUCCCGACACCGGUAGCCCCCACUCCGGGAGGAGAGAGCUGGGAGCACCCCCCCGUCCCCGUCCCCCUCCCCACCGGGCUCGGAAAGAGAACGAAUUGCAUCCAGCAGCGGCGCAGCCCUGGCCGAAGUCAGGAUGCCCUGCUCGGCGCGGAGCCUGGGCCGGAAACCGGACGCGGUCCCCAAACACUGCAGCCACUGCCGGAAUUUAGCGGGUGAAGGAAGGGGUGAGAGAAGGUCUGUUUUGCCUGAACCCAUCAACAGCUGGGAGAUUAAUCAACCUCACGGAAAAUGUGCGCGGGCUGGGGGUG